ensembl:lncRNA
UGGCAGAGUGUUGGUAACUUGAGCCACUCAAAAGUGAGGGUUUCACUUCCCUUUUGGUUCUCUGAAUAUAUCUGGGACCAGAAGGUGUGCGUGGUUUAUUGCAGAGACACACAGAAGGCAGCUGCAUCUGCAGAGCUGAGAACAGCUGGAUCUUGUUCACACUCAGCCAGAGGAAAACUCCUGGGAAGGUGUGCUGCUGACACAGAAUAUCUAACAACUGGUUACACUCAGAUGCCUGUGGAGCUGGUCUGGACCCAGUCUCUGCGACAAGGACAAUUGGUGAGGAGCACCUUGUACUGUCCCAGUGAGGCUCUCAAGCCAUCUGUGGUGUUGCCCGUCACCCUGCACAUGGCCCCACACUGCUCAGCCUCCCCUGCUUAGCCCCUGCGCUUCUGAAGGAUGUUGAAGCCAGUCUUGACUUUAAAGUACCUUUUUCAAAAGAAACCUUUGGGGACUUCCCUGGUGGUCCAGUGGUAAAGAAGCUGCCUGCCAAUGCAGGGGACACAGGUUUGAUCCCUGGUCCGGGAAGAUCCAACAUGCUGGGAGCAACUAAGCCCGUGCACCGCCACUACUGAGCCCGCUCCCUAGAGCCCGUGCUCUGCAAAAAGAGAAGCCACUGCAAUGAGAAGCCCAUGUACUCGACGAAGAGUAGCGCACUCGAAGCAACUAGAGAAAGCAGCCCCUGCCCGCACAGCAGUGAAGACCCAGGGCAGUCAGAUAAACAAAUAAGGAUGCUGUUUCCCUAGCUACCUAAGGUAAAGCCUCCUGAGCCCCACUAUCUACUGCCCCUUUGGUUAGAAAUGCACAUGGGCACAGACUCCAGCAGGUAAGGUCCCUACAGAGUUGAGGUUCUGUGUUUCUUACCAGUCCCUUGCUAACUCCAGCUGCCCCCUCCUGCGUCCCCGCAGCCCCAAUCUCCCUGCACCAGGAGAAGGCUGCCCACAGAGCAGCAGGGCCAACCCAGACUCCAGGCCCCUUCCCUGGCCUUGGCCUUGCUCCAGGGCUCUGUGAUGGCCGGGGUGCCACGUGGUCAGCAGCCGGCUCUCCUCCUCUGGAUCGAAACCCUGGAGCUCUAGAGCAACCUGUACCGCAUGGGCCAGAGCAAGGUCUUCUUUUGGGCCGGCGUGCUGGCCCACCUGAGGAGGAGCAGGACCUGAAGAUCACGGACGUCAUCAUCGGCUUCCAGGCCUGCUGCUGGGGCUAUCUGGCCAGGAGGUGUGACAACCAGAGCUGGCUGUCCCCAGAGGACCCAAGCUCUGGAAAGGUGGCAUCCUUGAGUCCUGGCAGCUCCAGCAAGCUAGGAGCGGACUUGUGCAGGUCAGUGGGCAGGGCAGCGUCCUGUUUGCCCCUUGACUCCCCUGUGUCUGGGCUCUGGGGGGUCUGUUCUGGCCUGAGAUGUGAGCACUGGGGACAGAAUGUCAAAUGGAUGUUUGCAGGAUGUGAGCUGCUGACACUCUCCCACCAAACACAAGUCCCUGAGUUCCUGGAAGAACACCCCCACCUCUCCCCUCCUCUCAGCUCCCUUACCUGCAAAAUGCAACAGAUACAUAAAAGUUGGCUUUAAGAGCAAACUAUGGUUGGCUAUCCUCAUGGAAUAAUCUCCUGUCCCUCCCUCAAACCUGGAUGGAGGGGACCAUCAUGGCCCAGGGACAUUUCCUGGGGUGAAGCAGCCCUGAGGGAAGGGCAGGCGGGCCUCCAUGGGGCAUCCAGGUCCACUGCAGUCACUUCUGCUUGAGGCAAACCGAGAAGUUCACCAGUAGUCCAGCUGCAGGACUCUCAGACUGUGGGAACUCGACCUUCAUUUCUUCAUCUGUGAAACGGAGCCAGCACUCCUAGAGCUGAUGUGAGAUUCAACAGGAAAGGCAUGGAUAGUGCAAGCACAGCGCCUGCCACAUGCUCAGCCCCCAUCCACAGAGGCUCUUUGCUGAGGAACCAAGCAGGACAGAGGGCCAGCUCUCCGUUGCAGACUUCUCUGAGUCGCCAAGACACUGGUUUUCUGAUAAAAGUCUUCCAUUUGGAGAGAAAAAAUCUGUUGUCAGGUGGAGAUAAGCCAAGGUAGCAAAGGGCAGCGUGCUCUCAGCCCUUCCCACGAACUUCUGCAUCCACCUUAUGGCAGUGACCACCAAGGCUGGGCCUCCUCCUGUGGGCCCCCAGAACUA